rnacentral:rRNA from 1 species
GACGAACGCUGGCGGCGUGCUUUACACAUGCAAGUCGAACGGUGAAGCGCCUUCCUUUUUGGUGGGUGUGGAUGAGUGGCGAACGGGUGAGUAACACGUGAGUAACCUGCCCCCUUCUUCUGGAUAACCGCAUGAAAGUGUGGCUAAUACGGGAUAUUCUGGGUCUGUCGCAUGAUGGGUCUGGGAAAGAUAUUGUUUCGGUGGGGGAUGGGCUCGCGGCCUAUCAGCUUGUUGGUGGGGUGAUGGCCUACCAAGGCGGUGACGGGUAGCCGGCCUGAGAGGGUGGACGGUCACACUGGGACUGAGACACGGCCCAGACUCCUACGGGAGGCAGCAGUGGGGAAUAUUGCACAAUGGGCGCAAGCCUGAUGCAGCGACGCCGCGUGAGGGAUGGAGGCCUGCGGGUUGUGAACCUCUUUCGCCAGUGAAGCAGGCCUGCCUCGUUUGUGGGUGGGUUGACGGUAGCUGGAGAAGAAGCGCCGGCUAACUACGUG